GAAAGUAAAGAAGGGCGCAUGGCGGAUGCCUUGGCUCUCGGAGGCGAUGAAGGACGUGAUAAGCUGCGAUAAGCUUUGGGGAGGUGCAAAUGACCUUUGAUCCAGAGAUUUCCGAAUGGGACAACCCAAUAUCUUGAAGAGGUAUUAUCCAACGUUGUUGGAGGCUAACGCAGGGAACUGAAACAUCUUAGUACCUGCAGGAAAAGAAAAUAAACAAUGAUUCCCCCAGUAGUGGCGAGCGAACGGGGAACAGCCCAAACCAUCCAUGUUACGGCAUGGGUGGGGUUGUAGGACUACGCCGUUGCAUGAAGACAUCAGAGAAGAACUUUCUGGAAAGAAAGACCAUAGAGCAUGACAGUUGCGUAUUCGAAUGUUGUCGAAGCAUAGUAGUAUCCUGAGUAGCGCGGAGCACGAGGAAUUCUGCGUGAAUCUGCCGGGACCAUCCGGUAAGGCUAAAUACUCCCGAGAGACCGAUAGCGAACCAGUACCGUGAGGGAAAGGUGAAAAGCACUUCGAACAGAAGAGUGAAAUAGUUCCUGAAACCGUGCGCCUACAAGCGGUCGGAGCUCGUUAAUGAGUGACGGCGUGCCUUUUGCAUAAUGAACCUACGAGUUGCCUUUGCCGGCAAGGUUAAGUGUGACGACACACGUAUCCGAAGCGAAAGCGAGUCUGAAUAGGGCGUAUAGUCGGCAGUGGCAGACGCGAAACCAAGUGAUCUACCCUUGGCCAGGUUGAAGGCUGGGUAACACCAGCUGGAGGACCGCACCAAUAAGCGUUGAAAAGCUUCUGGAUGAGCUGAGGGUAGGGGUGAAAGGCUAAUCAAACUUGGAGAUAGCUCGUACUCCCCGAAAUGCAUUUAGGUGCAGCCUUGCGGGUUACUGAUGUGAGGUAGAGCGACUGAUAAGAUGCGAGGGCUUCACCGCCUAUCAAGUCUUGACAAACUCCGAAUGCGCAUCAGUUCUACCGCAGGAGUGAGGGCAUGGGUGCUAAGGUCCGUGCCCGAGAGGAGAAGAAUCCGGACCACCUGCUAAGGUCCCGAAAUGACAGCUAAGUUAAACUAACGAAGUCUGACUGCUAAGACAGCUAGGAUGUUGGCUUGGAAGCAGCCAUUCAUUUAAAGAGUGCGUAACAGCUCACUAGUCGAGGAGUUUGGCGUGGAUAAUAAUCGGGCAUAAGUAUUCUACCGAAGCUUUGGGAUGAGAAAUCAUCGGUAGGGGAGCAUUCCACUCUGCGUCGAAGGUGAAGCGCGAGCUUUGCUGGAGCGUGUGGAAAAGCAAAUGUAGGUAUAAGUAACGAUAAAGGGGGUGGGAAACCCCCUCGCCGAAAGACUAAGGUUUCCUGAUCAACGCUAAUCGGAUCAGGGUCAGUCGGGUCCUAAGGCUCAGCCGAACGGCGAUGCCGAUGGCAGAAACGGUUAAUAUUCCGUUACUACCUUCAGGAGUGACGUGGAGACGCAGUAGUGACAGUGCCGCCAUCUGACGGAAUAGAUGGUUGAAGGGUGUAGGAGUCGAUCAUGGCAGGCAAAUCCACCAUGAGAUCCGAACCUGACAGUAUGCCGCGUCCUUCGGGACAAGGCAAUAGUGCGCGUAAGCAUGCUGCCGAGAAAAUCCGCUAAACUUAAUCCUGCAGGUACCCGUACCGCAAACGGACACACGUAGUCGGGAUGAAUAUUCUAAGGCGCUUGAGUGAUUCACGGUUAAGGAACUAGGCAAACUGACCCUGUAACUUCGGGAUAAAGGGUCCCUACCCUUUUAUGGGAGGGCGCAGAGAAUCGGUCCAGGCAACUGUUUAACAAAAACACAGGGCUGUGCCAAAUCGAAAGAUCCAGUAUACAGCCUGACACCUGCCCGGUGCUGGAAGGUUAAGAGGAGAUGUCAUCGAUAAGAGAAGCGUUGAAUUGAAGCCCCAGUAAACGGCGGCCGUAACUAUAACGGUCCUAAGGUAGCGAAAUUCCUUGUCGGGU
rnacentral:rRNA from 1 species